rnacentral:rRNA from 1 species
UACGUAGGGGGCGAGCGUUGUUCGGAAUGACUGGGCGUAAAGGGCGUGUAGGCGGCCCCUUUUGUCGCGUGUGAAAGCCCCGGGCUCAACCUGGGAACUGCAUCUGUGACUGCAUUGCUGGAGUGCGGCAGAGGGGGAUGGAAUUCCGCGUGUAGCAGUGAAAUUCGUAGAUAUUCGCAAGAACACCAGUGGCGAAGGCGGCUCACUGGCCCGAUACUGACGCUGAGGUGCGAAAGCGUGGGGAGCAAACAGG